GACGGUCCGCCUCAGAGGGCCCCGGGAAGAGUCUCACGUGAAGGCCACGUCUCGUUUGCAGCUGGGGUUGACUGCUCCAGGGCCCCGAGGACACCGACCGGGCACUUGAUCUCCCAGAACGUUCAUCAGAGAAACGACGAGCAUCAGACCGUGAUCGACGGCGUGUUCUCUGCUGGAGGUGGAGAGCGGCAGACAGACCGAUUCACGCAGAGGAGAUGCUGGCAGUCCCGUCAUUCGUGAGGCCGAUGCCAGGAAGGAGCUGCGUGGGACCGUCAGCGGGGCGCUAGCCGUGCCGAGAAGGAGAAACCCGCAGUCUAAACGGGGGUGCCUCGGGUCGCAUCGCACCUGAAUGGAGUCCGAGACAGGACCCACCGCCCUCCUGGAUGAACGCGGGGACUUCCUUUGCAGCCUGCUGAGCGACUCGUUGAAAGCGAGCAAAUGAACGUCACAGUGUGAAGCCUGCUCUGGAGCUGAUUUUUCCUCGGUGGUUAUUUUUGCAGCUUCUCAUGUCGUUUUGCCCGAGGCAGGAAUCUUCAGCCCUCACUGAAAUAAACCUUGUCCCACUGAAAAA